rnacentral:tRNA from 2 species
CCGAAAAUAGCUCAGCGGUAGAGCGGGAGACUGUAGUGGAAAUUGUAAUCUCUAGGUCCCUGGUUCAAAUCCGGGUUUUCGGA